GACGAACGCUGGCGGCGUGCUUAACACAUGCAAGUCGAACGGAAAGGCCCCGCUUUUGUGGGGUGCUCGAGUGGCGAACGGGUGAGUAACACGUGAGUAACCUGCCCUUGACUUUGGGAUAACUUCAGGAAACUGGGGCUAAUACCGGAUAGGAGCUCCUGCUGCAUGGUGGGGGUUGGAAAGUUUCGGCGGUUGGGGAUGGACUCGCGGCUUAUCAGCUUGUUGGUGGGGUAGUGGCUUACCAAGGCUUUGACGGGUAGCCGGCCUGAGAGGGUGACCGGCCACAUUGGGACUGAGAUACGGCCCAGACUCCUACGGGAGGCAGCAGUGGGGAAUAUUGCACAAUGGGCGGAAGCCUGAUGCAGCAACGCCGCGUGCGGGAUGAUGGCCUUCGGGUUGUAAACCGCUUUCGCCUGUGACGAAGCGUGAGUGACGGUAAUGGGUAAAGAAGCACCGGCUAACUACGUG
rnacentral:rRNA from 1 species